rnacentral:pre_miRNA from 1 species
AGGAACUACCCCAGUGGCUGCCGCAGCUCUGGAAACCUGGAUUCAGCUCCCGCAGGAACUCUGCAGGGGCCUGGAGGCUCCGGGGCGGG